GGGAGAAGGAGCUCGGAGUUGAAGCUCCUGCAGGAUGCCACGGAUUAUUUAGUGGAGUUGGUAUACCAGGGUUUCCAAGUGAGUAGAGCCAAUACCCCAUGGAUGAUGUAAAUCACCCAUCAAUUGGUUGAGAAGAGUCUUCAUUACCAAGUCAUUGCAACAUUUUAGAAUGAAUGAAGAAAAUACCAAAAACAAGGAUAGAUGCUUCUUCUUCUUUGCGGCUUCUUCUUUGUGGGGUCGCCACAGCGUGUCAUCCUUUUCCACCUCUCUUGCCUGGCACCUCCAUCCUCAUCAUCCUUCAUCCAAUAUACUCACUAUCUCUCCUCUGGACGUGUCCAAAACAUCGAAGUCUGCUCUCUCUAACUUUGCCUCCAAACCAUCGAACCUUGGCUGUCCCUCUGAUGAGCUCAUUUCUAAUUGUAUCCAACCUGGUCACUCCUAGAGCGAACCUCAACAUCUUCAUUUCUGCCACCUCCAGCUCUGCUUCCUGUUGUCUCUUCAGUACUUGUUAACCCAGGCCACGACCGAUCCGAUGAACGCUCAUAUUUGUUUGGCAAAGUUUUAAACCAGAUGCCCUUCCUGACGCAACACUCUGCAUUUAUGCGGGCUUGGCACCGGCCUAAAGUUUGCACUGGCUUGUGCCCCCCAUAGGGCUGAAUUAAAAAUAAAUAUAGAUGCUAACGUCAGCUUACUCUGUUAUUGUACCUUAGCUCUAGACGCUGCAGUGUCUAUCGACCAAAAAAGAAAUACAGGAGACACUUUAAAAAGUGUUUUUUUUUUUUGUUUUGUUUUUUUUUACAGUUUUUAGUGCUAUUUUGCAGUGGCCGACCAAUCCCCGUUACCAUGUGCUAGGGAGUAGAAUUGGAGUGUAAAAUCAAAAGCAUAUUUGUGUGUCCGGCCACCCACCUGGUGGGAAACACACCGCCAAGUACAUUAUUGUGAGAUGCCAAUUUUCAUUUUGGCCCGGCUGAAGUCACUGUGCUUGGUAAUGUGUCUGCUGCAGGUGCCACAUGUACAUAUUCAUACAUUAAUUGACAAGUGUAAUCUGGCGGCUUGGUGAUGAAGUGCCGUCUACACAAGUAAAAAUACAACUAUUGCAUUUACUGUCUCUACUGUUGCUCCGUUACUCUCAAAACAGCUUCGACCAUGGUCAUCAUUAUAAUGACUUUUGAAGCAAAAUUUUUCCCCGACCACACCAGUCAGAGUCUCCUCCUUCAUCUUUGCACAGGCGUAACCGUUGACCUGAUCACUGACCUUAUAGCAACCUGCACCUCAUUUCAGAUAUCCAUCCGCGGUUCGCGUAAAGGAAUGGGUGUGGUCAAAGAUGAUUCUGAUGUGAAUUUAGUUUUUUGAUUCAUCAUUUAAUUUUGACAGC